CUGAGCCAUCCAGGCGCCCCUAAAUGAUUUUAUUUUUAAGUAUGCUCUACACCCAGCAUGGGGGUCAAACUCACAGACCUGAGAUCCCCAUGCUCCACUGACUGAGCCAGCCAUGUGCCUCUACAUCUUGCUGGUUUUUACUUAACAUUAGGUCAGGUGCAUUUUUCUAGGGCUGCGGUACAGUCUCUGCUAACCUGGUUUCUCAGCCGUUCGGACGACUCCGGCCAGUGGUGGAUUCUGGGCUGUAGUGGUGAUUUCUCAUGGCUGGCCACUGAGGCUGUUUGCACUUGUUUGCUGAAACAAAGAACAUGGUAAACAGCCUCCAUCCAUCCGUAAUUCCACGUCCACAUGGCUGAUUAUUUGGGGGGCUUUUUAUCUGAUCAGUUCCUAGACACGAGAUUCUUGGAAGCCCUGCCUGGUGCAGAGCUGUUGGGUAAGCAGGGGAGGGGGUGGGGCUUCUCAGGCCCACAUGUCCCCACCUGAGGACAGCCCAGGCCCCAGCUGUAAGGAACAACUUGCACUUUCUGAACGCCUCAUGCUCUCUCCUAAUUCCAGGCCAAUUUGUCCGGGGGUUACCGACUCUGCCCCCAGCUUUCUGUCUUCCUCCUUCUCUCUGUCUUGCUAACUCUUGCUGGCAUAAGAUGUUCUCCAAGGAGCUUUCCUGGAGCCCCCACGGCUGGGAGCCCCCAGUGUCAUCCCCUCUGCGGCUGUGCCCGGGGCCACCUCCAUCCGAGUGCUUUCUCGCUGGGUUCCAAGUCCUGUUUCUUUGGUUUUCCUUGUCCCCCGAGGACAAGGCCCAGGCAGGAUUCAUCUCUGAAUUUCUAGUACUGGGGGCAGUGGUGAGCUGGCUCAUUUCAGUUUCAGUAAAUGUUUGUUGAGCAAAGGAAUGGAGAGUUGGACAAAUGAAUUAAACAAAUGAAGCAAAGUCCGUGGGGGAGGCUGAAGUGAACUUUUUUUUGUGUUUGAGCGUCCAGUCCAGGGGGAUGUAGUGGGGUGCGGAGCAAGGCCCCUGAGCCAGGAGCAAGGAACAGGGAAGGCAGGGCUCUUGUGAAAGGGAGCUGGAAGUAGGGGUCUAGGCAGUGCCGUGCAGGGUAAUGCAGACAAGAACAUUCCAGAAGAGGGAAAAGUUUCAUGGGCUCUGGAGCCCCCCCUUCUGGAUUCAAACCCUGACCCUGCUGCUUACGAGCUGUGUGGCCCUGAGCCAGUGACUUAGCUUCUCUGUGCUUCAGUUUUUCCAUCUGUAAAAUGUGGAUGACAAAUGUUAGUACUUCAUUCAUUCAUUCAUUCAUUCAUUUUCUUCCUCGCUUAACACUUGCUGAGUGUCUAUUCUGGGCCCAGGACCAGAAGCUGAGAGGGAGCUGACCAGCACAGGCAAACCCUGCUACUAAGCGGAAACCCAGGUUUGGUGGCCGCAGCUUCUACUCGUGGAGCCCCUCAGUCGACCUAUCAGGCUGCCGAGGGACCACUGGCUGGCACAGACGGAACGCUGUCACCAGCCUCCUCCAGCAUCGUCACCAUCAGGAGUCUGUGCUGACCCACCACAAGGUCUUGGAGAACUCCCCCGGCCUCUCCGAGCCUCUGUUUCCUUUAGAGUCAACAUCCAUCUUAGUUUGCCUGGGAAGAAGGGUCUUCCCAGGGUGGGGAACUCUUGAUGUUAAGACUGGUUCUGUCCUAGGCAAACAGGGAUGGUUGGUCCCCUGAGUUUCCUCAUCCGUAACGUGGCGAACCGCCUGCCCCCUGGGGCUGCCGUGCAGAACUGAAGCAUGCACACGGGAAAGUCUGAGAAGAAUCCUAGAUCGAGUACACGAAUAUUGAAGAAUUCUGAGUGCCGUGGAAGUCCAGUCACGGAAAAGAAGGAGCCCGCUUGCAGGUUCUGCUAUGGAAGCAGCUCUAAGAUACAUAUUCUUAGUGGAAAAAGCAAGGGUGAGAAACCUUCUCAACUCCUGUGUGUCCAGAAUUAAAGCAACAAAAAACUAUUCUAAACCGUUAAAAGGCCAAAGAUACAGAGUAGGAAACGUUUCUUGCUCAGGGCCCAGCAGCCAAGAAGUUCAUGAAUGGCCUUCUCCCCUCUCCUGCCCGUAGCCUCGCUGAUCACCAGUCUGGACUAGGCAACCUGCAUCUGCUGCUGUGGCCACCAAAGCCAGCUCCCUCUGCCUCUGGCCUCCGGGAGAAAGAGCCACAGCUGGUUUAGGAAAAAGUUCCAGAGUCAGCCCUCCAGGCCUGCCCCUCACCAACCAACCUCCACUGAGAGCCCAGCCCAGCCCUGCCUUGAGCUUCCAGACACGUGGCCGGAUUCUUUUCUUUUAAAUUUUAGCAUCAUGCCCGUAUUUCAGGAACAUGGUCUUAUUGUACUCUCUCACACAUUAAUAAAAUGUAACGAAUAAAAACCUAAAAACCAAAGUAAUUCCCCUGCAUUUCCCCAGCUGCAUUCCCCUCAAACAUUACUGGCUGCUAGUGGGUGUUCCUUUGAACCUUCUACUCUCAUGUGUAUGUGUGUAUCUGUAGCUCUUCUCUCUGUACACUUCUGUCUCUAUCUGUAACCACACCUUUGUCUGUAUCUGGGCCAGCUGUGUACGCACAGGUGCAUGCGCUCCUCACAUAAAUGGUAACAUUCUGUGUAUUUUGUUCUGCAAGGUGCCUUACUUUUCACUGAGUGCGUCUUGCUUUGGGUCCGUACAUAUUCAACCCCCUCCUUUUUAACAGCUGAGCAGUAGUCCAUCACGUGAGCUGGCCCAUCAUUUCUUUGUCCAGUCCCCUACCGAACAUCUAGAUGGUUUCUAUCAUUUUGCUUCCACAAACAGCCCUGGGCAGGCCUCAUUGUACGCUGAGUGAUUUCUCCAGGACAGGCUCACCUCCUGGCACUGCUGGAGGGGCUGGGUACCACAUUCGCGAUACCUACUAACAGAGGGGCCGGGUGCUGGGGCUAGGUACCGCAUUUGCUGUAAGUACAAAGGAAGUACAACCUGGGGAAGCCAGAGCAAGCCCCUCUCCCACCCAGGACACAGACCGCCUGUUUUAUGCACAUCACCAGCGCUGAGCUGCCCAGUGUGUCACAUUUUCCUAUCAGACCGUCUCUCCCCAGCAUAAUCCUUACCUCCCAAGCCACCAAUCGUUCCACUGGGAUGGCUUCGAAACCUGGAUUCCAGGGAACUUUCCAGCCAUCUUUGUUUGUCCGACUACUGAGUGGCUUUGUGCCUGGGUGAUUUCAGGGAGAAGGGGAGAUCCUCCAGUCCCCAUAUUUCUCCCCCAUCUAGAGGAAAAGGCAGUUUGGGGAAGGCCCUGCCCCCUUUGCAAGCUCUUUUUCCUAAGGCUUCCUGCCACCGGGGCAGCAUGGGACAAAGGAGGGCAGCUUAGAGGUAAAAAGCACAGGGGGAAUCAAAAGAUAUAGAACCACAAUAAUGGCCUAUUCCUUACAAAGUUUCUCCUGGGCCCUCAGCACCACAGGAGCCUGAGACCCGCCCCGCAGUGCACAUUACAGUUGCCCCCAUCUUGCAAGUGAGGGAGCCAAGGCGCAGAAGGAGGGGGAGCAGGAUUGAACUCGGACCUGUACGGCCCCAGAGCCCAGGUCCUGUCAUCGGGUGGGGGUAACACGUGUGCCAGAAGCUAGUACUGACUGACUCCCUGGGGGAGCCCAGGAUAAAUGAAGUCUG